rfam:Actinomyces massiliensis F0489 contig00139, whole genome shotgun sequence.
GGGUUCGGCCGCGACUGGCGAGGGUGGGGCACCACCGGGGAGCGGUCACCGAUCAUGAGUAGGGGACGUCGCCCGCCUGGGCGUCCCCG